rnacentral:tRNA from 1 species
AAGUCUUAGCUUAAUUAAAGUAUCUGGGUUGCAUCCAGGAGAUGUAGUUAGAAUUCUACAGAUUUUA